rfam:Triticum aestivum genome assembly, contig: Triticum_aestivum_CS42_TGACv1_scaffold_223865_3B
UUCAUAAUCCCUCCGUCCGGAAAUACUUGUCAUCAAAAUGGAUAAGAGGGGGUGUAUCUAGACGUAUUUUAGUUCUAUAUACAUCCCCUUUUUAUCUAUUUUGAUGACAAGUAAUUUCGUUCGGAGGGAGUACAUC